rnacentral:rRNA from 2 species
UGGGGAAUCUUCCGCAAUGGGCGAAAGCCUGACGGAGCAACGCCGCGUGAGUGAUUAAGGCCUUCGGGUUGUAAAACUCUGUCAUCAGGGAAGAAAAUAAUGACGGUACCUGAGGAGGAAGCCCCGGCUAACUACGUGCCAGCAGCCGCGGUAAAACGUAGGGGGCGAGCGUUGUCCGGAAUUACUGGGCGUAAAGGGCGCGUAGGCGGUUGUCCAAGUCAGAGGUGAAAACUCUGGGCUCAACUCAGAGCGUGCCUCUGAAACUGGGCGACUUGAGGGCAGGAGAGGGGAGUGGAAUUCCCAGUGUAGCGGUGAAAUGCGUAGAUAUUGGGAGGAACACCAGUGGCGAAGGCGACUCUCUGGCCUGUUUCUGACGCUGAGGCGCGAAAGCGUGGGGAGCGAACGGG